rnacentral:rRNA from 1 species
UACGUAGGGGGCAAGCGUUGUCCGGAUUUAUUGGGCGUAAAGAGCGUGUAGGCGGUCAUGUAGGUCCGUUGUGAAAACUCGAGCUCAACCUCGAGACGCCGAUGGAAACCAUAUGACUAGAGUCCGGAAGAGGAGAGUGGAAUUCCUGGUGUAGCGGUGAAAUGCGCAGAUAUCGGAAGGAACACCAGUGGCGAAAGCGGCUUCCUGGUCCAGCACCGACGUUCAGGCACGAAAGCGUGGGGAGCAAACAGGAUUAGAUGAACCCUUGUAGGUACCCUAGAACCAACGUCUCUCGCU